UCAAUCUGUGUAGGACUGAUAAAAUGAAUAUGGGUAUCCAUACCCCCUGCGGUCACGAUCAGCCCUUCCCCUGCAAUGAUUUCGGUACCUGCUCCAAUAAUCAGGUUUUCAUCCACCCCAUCCAUGAUCGCCGGAUUUCCGGCUUUCCCGAUUCCGCAGAUUUUUCCAUCUUUCAUGCCAAUAUCCGCUUUUACGAUUCCCCAGUAAUCAACAAUGACAGCACUUGUGAUAACCGUAUCCGGGCAGUCCUGAUCUCUUACUUUACAGGACUGUCCCAUGCCGUCCCUC
rnacentral:sRNA from 1 species